rnacentral:tRNA from 1 species
GAGGGUAUAGCUCAGUGUUAGAGUGCGUGCCUAGCAUGCACAAGGUCCUGGGUUCAAUCCUCAAUACCUCCU